GAUGAACGCUGGCGGCGUGCCUAAUACAUGCAAGUCGAGCGAACAGACGAGGAGCUUGCUCCUCUGACGUUAGCGGCGGACGGGUGAGUAACACGUGGAUAACCUACCUAUAAGACUGGGAUAACUUCGGGAAACCGGAGCUAAUACCGGAUAAUAUAUUGAACCGCAUGGUUCAAUAGUGAAAGACGGUUUUGCUGUCACUUAUAGAUGGAUCCGAGCCGCAUUAGGUAGUUGUUAAGGUAAAGGCUUACCAAGGCAACGAUGCGUAGCCGACCUGAGAGGGUGAUCGGCCACACUGGAACUGAAACACGGUCCAGACUCCUACGGGAGGCAGCAGUAGGGAAUCUUCCACAAUGGACGAAAGCCUAACGGAACAACGCCGCGUGAGUUAUGAAGGUCUUCGGAUCGUAAAACUCUGUUAUUAGUAAAGAACAAAUGUGUAAGUAACUAUGCACGUCUUGACGGUACCUAAUCAGAAAGCCACGGCUAACUACGUG
rnacentral:rRNA from 1 species